CAGAGAGGACCGUGAUGCUCAUUAACUGUUGAGACAUCUUAGAGUCAUGAUGCUUGCAGGUUUCCUCUUUCUGCUCCUCCUCACAGGUGGAAGUCCCCUUAGCUUCGCAGACCAAGCAGAGCUUUCUGACGAUCAACAGACGUCCAAUUACAGCGUUAAGGAAAUGUCUCCCCUUAAACAGCUGUGAUUGAAUCAGG